CACGCAGGCGGCCAAACCAAGUCUGACGUGAAAGCUCCUGGCUUAACUGGGAGAGGUCGUUGGAAACUGAUUGGCUUGAGGCAAUGAGAGGGGUACGGAAUUCCAGGUGUAGUGGUGGAAUGCGUAGAUAUCUGGAGGAACAUCAGUGGCGAAAGCGGUACCCUGGCAUUGGCCUGACGCUCAUGUGCGGAAAGCGUGGGGAGCGAACG
rnacentral:rRNA from 1 species